CUAACACAUGCAAGUCAACUUGAAACUACCGCUUGCGGUAUUGGAUGGUGGCGAACGGGUGAGUAACGCGUAGACAACCUACCAUUUAAUUUGGGAUAAUUCACUGAAAAGAGGACUAAUACCGAAUGUGUUCUUAAGAUGGCAUCAUCUUGAGAAAAAAGACUGAGGUCGUUAAAUGAUGGGUCUGCGUAUCAUUAGUUAGUUGGUAAGGUAACGGCUUACCAAGACAUCGAUGAUUAGCUGGUCUGAGAGGAUGAUCAGCCACACUGGGACUGAGAUACGGCCCAGACUCCUACGGGAGGCAGCAGUGAGGAAUAUUGCACAAUGGGGGCAACCCUGAUGCAGCAACGCCGCGUGUACGAAGAAUCAGAAUACUGUGUAAAGUACUGUUAGAAGGGACGAAAUAUUAGAUUAGGAGUCUAAUUUGCCGGUACCUUCUAAGAAAGCUCCGGCUAACUCC
rnacentral:rRNA from 1 species